rnacentral:rRNA from 1 species
GACGAACGCUGGCGGCGUGCUUAACACAUGCAAGUCGAACGAUGAACUUGGAGCUUGCUCUGGGGGAUUAGUGGCGAACGGGUGAGUAACACGUGAGUAACCUGCCCUGGACUCUGGGAUAACUUCGAGAAAUCGGAGCUAAUACCGGAUAGGACCUUGCACCGCAUGGUGUGGGGUGGAAAGUUUUUCGGUUUGGGAUGGACUCGCGGCCUAUCAGCUUGUUGGGGAGGUAAUGGCUCACCAAGGGGUCGACGGGUAGCCGGCCUGAGAGGGUGACCGGCCACACUGGGACUGAGACACGGCCCAGACUCCUACGGGAGGCAGCAGUGGGGAAUAUUUCACAAUGGGCGCAAGCCUGAUGCAGCAACGCCGCGUGCGGGAUGACGGCCUUCGGGUUGUAAACCGCUUUUAGUAGGGAAGAAGCCUUCGGGUGACGGUACCUGCAGAAAAAGGACCGGCUAACUACGUGCCAGCAGCCGCCGUAACAC